UACGUAGGGCGCAAGCGUUGUCCGGAAUUAUUGGGCGUAAAGAGCUCGUAGGCGGCUUGUCACGUCGGGUGUGAAAGCCCGGGGCUUAACCCCGGGUCUGCAUUCGAUACGGGCAGGCUAGAGUGUGGUAGGGGAGAUCGGAAUUCCUGGUGUAGCGGUGAAAUGCGCAGAUAUCAGGAGGAACACCGGUGGCGAAGGCGGAUCUCUGGGCCAGCACUGACGCUCAUGCACGAAAGCGUGGGGAGCAAACAGG
rnacentral:rRNA from 1 species